rnacentral:rRNA from 1 species
AUGAGGUCCGGAGGCGCCGCCGAGGUGAUAGAUCUCUCCAGCGACGACGACGAGGAGUCCCUCCCCUUUCCCAGCACCAGCGCCGUCACCAUCGCCCCCUCCUCCCCCCGCGAUGUCAAGCCGUACGAGCUCGCCGAUGUGAAGCCCCUGCUUUACCCGAUCCAGCCCCCAGGCUGCUACGCGCUCGUGCCCGUCAAGGACGAGGAACCCGUGCCCUUGCCACUCGCCGCCGAAGCCCCCAGGGUCCUCCCCCCGCCGCGCCUCUGCCGCCAAUUCUGGAAGUCCGGCGAGUAUGUUGUAGCCCGCCGCAACCCUGACGCCGAUGCCCCUGGUGGGCGGAAUCGGCUGAGGAUCAAUCCAAAGUUCCUGCACUCAAAUGCUACUUCUCACAAGUGGGCAUUUGGCGCCAUUGCUGAGCUUCUUGAUAACGCUAUUGAUGAGGUGAAUAAUGGGGCAACAUUUGUUCGUGUUAAUAAAUUCACAAACCCACGGGAUGGUAGUCCCUCAUUGUUGGUUCAAGAUGAUGGAGGGGGGAUGGAUCCAGAUGCACUGCGAUGUUGCAUGAGCUUUGGAUUUUCAGAUAAGCAGUCUGAUGCUUUCAUCGGACAAUAUGGCAAUGGUUUCAAAACAAGCACAAUGAGGCUUGGAGCAGAUGUGAUUGUUUUUACACAGAACCAAAAAAACUGGACACCGACAAGAAGUAUUGGUCUUCUUUCUUACACAUUUCUGAUGGAAACAGGCUGCGAUGAUGUAUUGGUGCCAACAGUAGACUACCAAUAUGAUCUUACAACUGCUUCAUAUACUCAGCUGUUACGUCAUAAUCAGAAACUCUUCUCUUCUAAUUUGGCGAUCCUUUCGAAAUGGUCCCCUUUUGCUAGUGAAGCUGAGUUGCUUAAACAAUUUGAUGAUAUCGGGGAGCAUGGGACGAAGAUAAUUGUAUUCAACCUCUGGUUCAAUGAUGAUGGGGACAUGGAGCUUGAUUUCAACUCCGAUAAGAAGGAUAUUCUCAUUACUGGGGCACAGAAGAAGGUCAAAACCAACAAACAUGAGAAGCUUGUGACUCAGGACUACAUUGCAAAUCGACUUCGUUAUUCACUUAGAGCAUACGCCUCCAUCUUGUAUCUUCGUGUACCUGAUAGUUUCAGGAUAAUCCUGCGUGGACAGGAUGUGGAACCACAUAAUGUAGUUAAUGAUUUGUUGUAUCGUGAAUGUGUGUUGUAUAAACCACAAAUCGCUGGACUUCCAGAGCUAUCUAUAGUCACAACCAUCGGAUUUGUCAAAGGUGCCCCAGACACUGAUGUACAAGGAUUCAACGUUUAUCACAAGAAUCGUUUAAUAACGCCUUUUUGGAAAGUUGCCAGCAACUCAUAUGGCAAAGGGCGGGGAGUUGUGGGUAUUCUUGAUGCGAGUUUCAUCAAACCUACCCACGACAAGCAGGACUUUGAGAAGUCAGUCCUUUAUCAAAGGCUCGAGAAUCGUUUGAAAGAAAUGACUUACGAAUACUGGGGCCUGCAUUGCCAUCGCCUUGGUUAUGAUAACAAGUCAUUACCUAAAGCAUCCCGUGCACUUUAUCGUGCUAAGCAGACGGGCGCUGGUACUUCGCCAGCAAGUGUUCCUCAUCAGUUACUGACUGCUGAUGUUCCAACAAGCAGCUGUGCACAGAGUAGCAUGGGACAGAAGAGAAAUUUCGAUGCCCUCGGAGUCAUCAGCAACAUAAAUAAUCACCAGACGAAGCAUCGGGAUGUUAUUCAACGAAAACGAUUUCAUGAAUACAAGACCUUGACACUUGAAAAUGACAAAUUGCGUGAUGAAUGCUUACAAUACGAGGAAUCAGAGAAGCAACUUGUCGAAAAGGAACAAAAGCUCCGGUAUCAAAUUGCUAAGGAAACAAAGAAGUAUGAGGAAUUAUUAGAAGAGCUCAAAUUAUUAGAUGUGAAGUUAGAGACAUAG